rnacentral:rRNA from 1 species
AGAGUUUGAUCCUGGCUCAGAACGAACGCUAGCGGCGUGCCUAACACAUGCAAGUCGAACGAGAAAGGGGCUUCAGUCCUGAAUAAAAUGGCGCACGGAUGAGUAACACAUGGGUAACCUGCCUCUAAGAUCAGAAUAACCUAUCGAAAGACGAGCUAAUACCGGAUAAGACCACAAUUCCUACAGGAAUCGGGAUCAAAGGUGGCCUCUGCAUGCAAGCUAUCACUUAAGGAUGGGCCUGCGCACCAUUAGCUAGUUGAUAGGGUAACGACCUACCAAAGCAAAGAUGGUUAGCUGGUCUGUGAGAAUGAUCAACCACACUGGAACUGAGACACGGUCCAGACUCCUACGGGAGGCAGCAAUGGGGAAUAUUGCGCAAUAAGCGAAAGCCUGACGCAGCAACGCCGCGUGAAUGAUGAAGGCCUUCGGAUCGUAAAGCUCUAUCAGAGGGAACGAAUGCUCCUGAGGUUAACAGCCUCAGGAAAUGACGAUACCCUCAAAGGAAGCACCGGCUAACUCUGUGCCAGCAGCCGCGGUAAUACAGAAAAUGCAAGCGUUGUUCGGAAUCAUUGAGCGUAAAGAACGUGUAAGCGGUUUGUUAAGUCAUAUAUGAAAUCCCCCGACUCAACCGGGGAAGAACGCAUGAAACUGGCAAACUAGAGUACCGAAGAGAGAAGUGGAAUUCCCAAUGUAACGAUGAAAUGCGUAGAUAUCAGGAGGAACACCUAUGGCGAAGACAGCCCCCUGAUCGGAUACUGACACUGAUACACGAAAGCGUAAAGAGCAAACAAGAUUAAAUACCCUAAUAGUCCACACUGUAAACGAUGAGCACUAGAUGUCCAGAAUAUUGACCCCCUGGAUACCGCAACUAACGCAUUAAGUGCCCCACCUAAAGAAUACGAUCGCAAGAUUAAAACUCAAAGGAAUUGACAAAGGCCCGCACAAACAGUGGAACAUAUGAUUCAAUUCGACGCAACACGAAGAACCUUACCUGAACUAGACAACAAUGGACAGUCCUAGAAAUAGGAUUUUCCCUUCAAGGACCACCGGUUCAAAUACUGCAUAACUGUCGUCAGCCCAUACCAUGAAGUAUUGGAUUAAGUCCCGCAACGAGCGCAACCCUUACCCUUAGUUGCCACCAUUAAAUUGAGCACUCUAAAAGGACUACCAACGUUAAGCCGGAGGAAGGUAAGAACGACAUCAAGUCAUCAUGACCCUUAUGUCCAAGACUACACACAUGCUACAAUAAACAGUACAAAAAAUCGCAAACCCGCGAGGAGGAACCAAUCCCAAAAAGCCGCUCUCAGUUCGGAUUGGAAUCUGCAACUCGACUCCAUGAAGUUGGAAUCACUAGUAAUCGUAGAUCAGAACGCCGCGAUGAAUACAUUCCCGGGCCUUGUACACACCGCCCAUCACACCAUAGAAGCCAGCUGUACCGGAAAUCAAUGCACCAACCCGCAAAGGAGGUAGCCACCUAUGGUAUGACUGAUGACUAAAAUGAAGUCGUAACAAGGUAGCC